GCAACCUGGUUGAUCCUGCCAGUAGUCAUAUGCUUGUCUCAAAGAUUAAGCCAUGCAUGUCUUAGUGUAAAUAACUCUUAUGAAACUGCGAAUGGCUCAUUAAAUCAGUUAUCAAAUACGUGAUGGUCGCCUACUACAUGGAUAACCGUAGUAAUUCUAGAGCUAAUACAUGCACAAAGGCCCAUCAGUGGGUU
rnacentral:rRNA from 1 species